AUGCGGCAAAGGCCCUCGCCAGAUGCUGAAUGCGGAUGCCGUCAUCUUGGACUUCCUAGCUUCCAGAACGAGCUGCACUGACACCCGUGGAUAUGUCCCUUUUGUGCAAAUGUGGAUUUCUCUAAAGGAGAAUGUACUGAGAGAUGCUACAUCACUCUCUGAAGUGGCCACUUGGACCAAUUAGCAUCUCCAGUGAUGGUACAGCGUGCCCAUUCCUCUACGUCCUCACCAACACUAGGUAUGAGCAUGCUUAUUAAUGGUCCUAAGCUGACGUAAGUGAUGUGUGUGUAUGUCACUGCUGUUUCAUUUUGAAAUGUGCUUAUUUGUGUGAGAGGUUGAGAAUAUUUUCAUGUUGACGGAUCAUG
rnacentral:lncRNA from 1 species